rnacentral:rRNA from 1 species
AACGAACGCUGGCGGCAUGCCUAACACAUGCAAGUCGAACGAGACCUUCGGGUCUAGUGGCGCACGGGUGCGUAACGCGUGGGAACCUGCCCUUAGGUUCGGAAUAACUCCCCGAAAGGGGUGCUAAUACCGGAUAAUGUCUUCGGACCAAAGAUUUAUCGCCUUUGGAUGGGCCCGCGUUGGAUUAGCUAGUUGGUAGGGUAAAAGCCUACCAAGGCGACGAUCCAUAGCUGGUCUGAGAGGAUGAGCAGCCACACUGGGACUGAGACACGGCCCAGACUCCUACGGGAGGCAGCAGUGGGGAAUAUUGGACAAUGGGCGAAAGCCUGAUCCAGCAAUGCCGCGUGAGUGAUGAAGGCCUUAGGGUUGUAAAGCUCUUUUACCCGGGAUGAUAAUGACAGUACCGGGAGAAUAAGCACCGGCUAACUCCGUG